rnacentral:rRNA from 1 species
CCAAGGCCAUAUCACCCUGCAGCCCAAGACAGGCUACUCACUAAAGCUAAGCAGGGGUAACCCCGCUAAGUACCUGGAUGGGAGUCUACAUGGAAAAAUUAGGUUGCUGUUAGGA